rnacentral:rRNA from 1 species
UUUAAUUAAUUAUAAUAUUAAAUAAAGCCUGCUCCAUGAAGUAAAUAGCCGCAGAAAAUAUACUGUGCUAAGGUAGCAUAAUCACUUGUCUCUUAAUUAGAGGCUAGAAUGAAAGACUAAACAAUUAAUUAAUUUUUUUAAAUAUUUAAAUUUAACUUAUAUUAAGAAUAAUAAUAUACUUAUUAAUAUAAAAGACGACAAGACCCUAUCGAACUUAACUAAAGUUAAGCUGGGGAAGCUAAUUAAUAAUUAUUUUAUAUAAUCAUAAUUAUAUAAAAACCCUUUAAAAUUGAAUUAUAAUCAAGUUACCGUAGGGAUAACAGCACAAUAUUUUUUUAAAGUUCAUAUUAAAAGAAAAGAUUGUGACCUCGAUGUUGAAUUAAUUUUACUCACUAGCGCAAGAGCCGUAAAAGUAAGUCUGUUCGACUUUUAAAAAAUUACA